UACGUAGGGUGCGAGCGUUGUCCGGAAUUAUUGGGCGUAAAGAGCUCGUAGGCGGUUUGUUGCGUCGGCUGUGAAAUCCCGAGGCUCAACCUCGGGUCUGCAGUCGAUACGAGCAAACUAGAGUGUUGCAGGGGAGACUGGAAUUCCUGGUGUAGCGGUGAAAUGCGCAGAUAUCAGGAGGAACACCGGUGGCGAAGGCGGGUCUCUGGGCAAUAACUGACGCUGAGGAGCGAAAGCGUGGGGAGCGAACAGG
rnacentral:rRNA from 1 species